rnacentral:rRNA from 1 species
AACGCUAGCUACAGGCUUAACACAUGCAAGUCGAGGGGCAGCAUGGAACUUAGCUUGCUAAGUUUCGAUGGCGACCGGCGCACGGGUGAGUAACACGUAUCCAACCUACCGUUUACUACGGGAUAGCCUUCUGAAAAGGAGAUUAAUACCGUAUGGUAUUCUAAAGUUUCAUGACAUUAGAAUUAAAGGUUUACCGGUAAUCGAUGGGGAUGCGUUCCAUUAGAUAGUAGGCGGGGUAACGGCCCACCUAGUCAACGAUGGAUAGGGGUUCUGAGAGGAAGGUCCCCCACAUUGGAACUGAGACACGGUCCAAACUCCUACGGGAGGCAGCAGUGAGGAAUAUUGGUCAAUGGGCGCGAGCCUGAACCAGCCAAGUAGCGUGAAGGAUGACUGCCAAAUGGGUUGUAAACUUCUUUUAUAAAGGAAUAAAGUAGUCCACGUGUGGAUUUUUGUAUGUACUUUAUGAAUAAGGAUCGGCUAACUCCGUGCCAGCAGCCGCGGUAAUACGGAGGAUCCAAGCGUUAUCCGGAUUUAUUGGGUUUAAAGGGAGCGUAGAUGGAUUUUUAAGUCUGUUGUGAAAGUUCGGGGCUCAACCCCGUAAUUGCAGUUGAUACUGGAUAUCUUGGGUACCGUUUGAGGCAGGCGGAAUUC